CAUACUACUAUUCAAAUCUUAUCUUUUCCCUAAAAGAACCUACCAAACUGACAAUAAGCAAAGCAGUACUGUUGUAUCUGACCCACAAGUAAGAGGUUAGACAGCAUAUUCUUGAGUUAAACAUGAAUUUUGUGGCUAUAUACCAUAGUAUUUAACAAAAUUGCAGCUUUCUAGUUUUGUGACCUUGAAUAUGUCAUUAACUUGGCUGUUUUCUCAUGUACAAAGUAAAGAUGGUAAUAUGAACUCAUACCAUUUAUAUGUUAGCCUUAGUGUCUUUAUAAAACUCAGGAUAACCCUCUCCCAAAACACUUAGAACAUUGUUAUCAGAGUCGAUAUCCAACCACUUCCCUUUUCCUGUGAAAACUACAGAAACUGCAUACAAAGUUUCUAACAUUUCAAAUCUCUUAAAAAUAUUUUGUGAAUGGAAAAUAAUAUGUAGGAGGAAUAAGAAGCUUGGUGGCUAUUUAAAAUACUGAUGUUUGAUCAUUGCCACAGUUAAAAUGAUUUAUCUUGCAGUCAGGAUCUCCUGUUCCUCAUGAAUCACUAAAUGAUUUUUAAAACUGGCUUCAGACCUCAUAUUCCCACUUAGGAAAUAGAACUCAUCACACCUUAUUUGUAAUUGUAAAGUUAUAUAUUAAAGCAUGGUGAUGUAAGGUUACUGAAUGGGGGUAUAUUUUAAAAAACAACAAAGACUAGAUUGGUAAGAUAGAUGGACAGGACUGAGAGAAAAUGAUACAGUUCACUAGUUUUUGAACCUUACACAAAGAAAUGUUUCAUCUAAAACAAAGGCUUGGAUUUUCAUUUCAAAUAUGUAGAAGAGGUGAACAUUUCUGGGCAGUCCUCAUGUUUCUAGGGGUAUUUUAAGGUCAAGAUAAUUUCUCUUCAGGUUGAGGGGGACAAUUAUAAGUAUUAACGGUAUUAAUCAGUCAUUUUCCUCUUAGUAGUUAACAUGUGAGCGAUCACAUACCAACAACUAUUCAAUAAGUAUCAAUACCAUUUUACAGGUGAGGGAAAAAGGGGUACAGGUUAACUUGUCCAAAGCCACAUAGAUGGUAUGUGGCAGAGCUAAGAGUUGAACUUUGGCAGUGUGAUUCUCUUUGUUUGUUUUUGCG
rnacentral:lncRNA from 1 species